ACUAUUUUGACAGAAAAGUGUAAUGGUUUUAGAAAUCAUAAAUAUAUAAUAUGAAUUAUUAUAUAAAUAGUA
rnacentral:tRNA from 1 species